rnacentral:rRNA from 1 species
GACGAACGCUGGCGGCGUGCCUAACACAUGCAAGUCGAACGGAAAGGCCCUGCUUUUGUGGGGUGCUCGAGUGGCGAACGGGUGAGUAACACGUGAGUAACCUGCCCUUGACUUUGGGAUAACUUCAGGAAACUGGGGCUAAUACCGGAUAGGAGCUCCUGCUGCAUGGUGGGGGUUGGAAAGUUUCGGCGGUUGGGGAUGGACUCGCGGCUUAUCAGCUUGUUGGUGGGGUAGUGGCUUACCAAGGCUUUGACGGGUAGCCGGCCUGAGAGGGUGACCGGCCACAUUGGGACUGAGAUACGGCCCAGACUCCUACGGGAGGCAGCAGUGGGGAAUAUUGCACAAUGGGCGGAAGCCUGAUGCAGCAACGCCGCGUGCGGGAUGACGGCCUUCGGGUUGUAAACCGCUUUCGCUUGUGACGAAGCGUGAGUGACGGUAAUGGGUAAAGAAGCACCGGCUAACUACGUG